UGAGCAGCACAGACGGUCGCGCCGAUUAUGGUGAGGAAAGUCCGGGCUUCACAGGGCAGGGUGCCGGAUAACGUCCGGUGGAGGUGACUCCAAGACUAGUGCAAUAGAAAAGAAACAGCUCGCCGCUUGCGGUGAGUGAUGGUGGAAUGGCGGGGUAAGAGCCCACCGCUUGGCUGGUAACAGACAAGGCUGUGUAAACUCCACCCGAAGCAAGACCGAAUAGGAAGCGAUACGGCGGCCCGUCGUGCUUCCGGGUUGGUCGCGUUCUGUCCGGGUAACCGGGCAGAGGAGCUGUGCGGUAACGUACAGUCAAGAAAGAUGAUCGUCUGAUACAGAACCCGGCUUACAGUGCUGCUCAAAAG
rnacentral:RNase_P_RNA from 1 species